AACGAACGCUGGCGGCAGGCUUAACACAUGCAAGUCGAGCGCCCCGCAAGGGGAGCGGCAGCCGGGUGAGUAACGCGUAGGAACGUACCUUUUGGUUCGGAACAACUCCGGGAAACUGGAGCUAAUACCGGAUAAGCCCUAACGGGGAAAGAUUUAUCGCCGAAAGAUCGGCCCGCGUCUGAUUAGCUAGUUGGUGAGGUAACGGCUCACCAAGGCGACGAUCAGUAGCUGGUCUGAGAGGAUGAUCAGCCACACUGGGACUGAGACACGGCCCAGACUCCUACGGGAGGCAGCAGUGGGGAAUAUUGGACAAUGGGCGCAAGCCUGAUCCAGCCAUGCCGCGUGAGUGAUGAAGGCCUUAGGGUUGUAAAGCUCUUUUGUCCGGGAAGAUAAUGACUGUACCGGAAGAAUAAGCCCCGGCUAACUUCGUG
rnacentral:rRNA from 1 species